UACGUAGAGUGCAAGCGUUAAUCGGAAUUACUGGGCGUAAAGCGUGCGCAGGCGGUUAUGUAAGACAGGUGUGAAAUCCCCGGGCUUAACCUGGGAACUGCAUUUGUGACUGCAUAGCUAGAGUACGGUAGAGGGGGAUGGAAUUCCGCGUGUAGCAGUGAAAUGCGUAGAUAUGCGGAGGAACACCGAUGGCGAAGGCAAUCCCCUGGACCUGUACUGACGCUCAUGCACGAAAGCGUGGGGAGCAAACAGG
rnacentral:rRNA from 1 species